GACGAACGCUGGCGGCGUGCUUAACACAUGCAAGUCGAACGGAAAGGCCCUGCUUUUGUGGGGUGCUCGAGUGGCGAACGGGUGAGUAACACGUGAGUAACCUGCCCUUGACUUUGGGAUAACUUCAGGAAACUGGGGCUAAUACCGGAUAGGAGCUCCUGCUGCAUGGUGGGGGUUGGAAAGUUUCGGCGGUUGGGGAUGGACUCGCGGCUUAUCAGCUUGUUGGUGGGGUAGUGGCUUACCAAGGCUUUGACGGGUAGCCGGCCUGAGAGGGUGACCGGCCACAAUGGGACUGAGAUACGGCGCAGUCUCCUACGGGAGGCAGUAGUGGGGAAUAUUGCACAAUGGGCGGAAGCCUGAGGCAGCAACGCCGCGUGCGGGAUGAAGGCCUUCGGGUUGUAAACCGCUUUCGCCUGUGACGAAGCGUGAGUGACGGUAAUGGGUAAAGAAGCACCGGCUAACUACGUG
rnacentral:rRNA from 1 species